ensembl:lncRNA
CUUUGCGUGGGAAACAAGUUCACCAUGCUGUGCGUGCAUUUCUGAUUCACAGUUUCUACUGUAUGCCUUGUUAUUAUCGCCUGGCACCUGACCAUGUGACAUCUGGCCUCCUGGAUUCAACGCUCGCAUCACUUCACUGGAAUGGGCCAGAACAGCAUGCUAGAAUUUUUAGCUACUUGUAGAACAAAGCCGCUGAGUUUCAUCAGACAUUCCUAGUCAUCUCCUGGACACUAGAAUCUAAUCUGCAGACAUAAAAACAAACAAAAAAAAACAGUUCAUCCAAGAAAAAUAACAGAAUCUGUCUCUCCACUCGGUUUGAUGUGCACCCUUUAAUCCAUCGAGUGUUAUUACAGUGGGAGGAUAUCAUAAGACCUAUUCAACAGAUAGCAGGGAGUUGAGAAAGUUACAAAAACAAAAGCAGAACCUUAUGAACAUUGUCGGUUGCCCAAGAACACAAAUCACAGUCAUGGGUGUUUUUUGUGUGGGAAAACUUUGCGAGGGCAUUGUGAGUAA